ACUCCAUGAAGCUGGAUUCGCUGUAAUCGCGCAUCAGCCACGGCGCGGUGAAUACGUUCCCGGGCCUUGUACACACCGCCCGUCAAGCCAUGGAAGCCGGGAGUGCCUGAAGUGCGUGAGCGCAAGCAGCGCCCUAAGGUAAAACCGGUGACUGGGGCUAAGUCGUAACAAGGUAAC
rnacentral:rRNA from 1 species